UCACACCCCGAGGAGCUGCAGACAGGGUUGCUAGCUCUCUCCCCAGACACAGUGGAGGGACUUCGCACCCAGCGGCACAGGGUCAACCACCAGGCCCCCUCCCAAUGUCGGGUCCUUGGUCAUGGACCGAGGAUCCGACAAGUCACUGCCCUUCAACUCUGCUGCUAGCAGGGCUAGAAGUAAAAAUGAGCAACCUGCUCAGCGCCUGGAACUGCAUGUCCCGGGCGUCGGGCGAUACAAA